rnacentral:rRNA from 1 species
UACGGAAGGCAGCAGUGGGGAAUAUUGCACAAUGGGCGCAAGCCUGAUGCAGCCAUGCCGCGUGUAUGAAAAAGGCCUUCGGGUUGUAAAGUACUUUCAGUCGUGAGGAAGGUGUUAAGGUUAAUAACCUUAGCAAUUGACGUUAGCGACAGAAGAAGCACCGGCUAACUCCGUGCCAGCAGCCGCGGUAAUACGGAGGGUGCGAGCGUUAAUCGGAAUUACUGGGCGUAAAGGGCACGCAGGCGGUUAAUUAAGUUGGAUGUGAAAUCCCCGGGCUUAACCUGGGAAUGGCAUUCAAGACUGGUUAGCUAGAGUCUUGUAGAGGGGGUUAGAAUUCCAUGUGUAGCGGUGAAAUGCGUAGAGAUGUGGAGGAAUACCGGUGGCGAAGGCGGCCCCUGGACAAAGACUGACGCUCAUGUGCGAAAGCUGGGGAGCAAACCAGGGAUUAGAUAC